rnacentral:rRNA from 1 species
CCUACGGGUGGCAGCAGUGAGGAAUAUUGGUCAAUGGUCGGGAGACUGAACCAGCCAAGCCGCGUGAGGGAGGAAGGUACAGAGUAUCGUAAACCUCUUUUGUCAGGGAACAAAGACUGGGACGCAUCCCCGGAUGAGUGUACCUGAAGAAAAAGCAUCGGCUAACUCCGUGCCAGCAGCCGCGGUAAUACGGAGGAUGCGAGCGUUAUCCGGAUUUAUUGGGGUUAAAGGGUGCGCAGGCGGGUUGUUAAGUCAGGCGUCAAAGGCCGGGGCUAAACCCCGGCCCCGCCGUUGAACCUGGCAGUCUCGAGUUGGAGAGAGGUAGGCGGAAUGCGCGGUGUAGCGGUGAAAUGCAUAGAUAUCGCGCAGAACUCCGAUUGCGAAGGCAGCAUGCCGGCUCCACACUGACGCUGAGGCACGAAAGCGUGGGUAUCGAACAGGAUUAGAUACCCCAGUAGUC